rnacentral:rRNA from 1 species
UACGAAGGGGGCUAGGCGUUGCUCGGAAUUACUGGGCGUAAAGCGCGUGUAGGCGGUUGUCCAAGUUGGAUGUGAAAGCCUUGAGCUUAACUCAAGAAAUGCAGUUCAGGACUGGAUGACUAGAGGACCGGAGAGGAUAGUGGAAUUCCCAGGUGUAGUGGGUGAAAUACGUAGAGAUUGGGAAGAACACCAGUGGCGAAGGCGG